UCUUAGCCCCGAUGGAAGCGACAUCCUUUUUUUGGUAGGGAUUGAUGCGAAGGAACAAAAAAGAUAUAGCGCACAGCGGGACUACAC
rnacentral:sRNA from 1 species